CUGAGUUAUCUAAACUCCCAACCCUUUGUGAACCUUACCGUCGUUGCCUCGGCGGGCUGUACUUACCCUGUAGCUACCCUGUAGCUACCCGGUAGGUGCGCUCCAAGCCCGCCGGUGGACCACUAAAUUCUAUUUUACUACUGUAUCUCUGAAUGCUUCAACUUAAUAAGUUA
rnacentral:misc_RNA from 1 species